CGGGGGGCGGGGGGGGGGGCGUGGGCCGUGUCCGUUAUUUCCAGGUCACCCUGGCGGGGUCCAUUCCAUGCCCCAUCUUUGCGUUUGCCUGGGUAAAAUUUAAUUCUGCAAGUACCGACUUGGCCAGGUGGAAAAGGAAUGGACCUUGAGCUCAGGGCUGUGCAUCCAAAGACUCCCGCUGUGGCUGCACCUCUCCAGGCAGCUAAGGAGCUGUGGUGGCAUUAGUGAGUGAGCUAGGGAAGGUGGAGGAGCGGAGAGCUCAGAGGACGGAGGCCGCGGUGCAGCCAGGGCAGCCGGUUCUUGCUGGCAGGAGAGAUGUGGAGAGUGUUUUCCUAAGGCAGAGUGGACAGUGAGAGAGAGACAGAGAGAAAGGUCUUCCUUUGCCGUUGGUUCACCCUCCAAUGACCGGUGCGGCCCGGAGUGCUGCAGCCGGUGCACCGCGCUGAUCCAAAGCCAGGAGCCAGAGAGAGGCUGACAGAAUAAGAGAAUGAGCUCCCACCCACUGCUUCACUCCCAAGAUGGCUACAACAAGCAGAGAGGCGAUGCUCAGGAGGUGUGUUGGAGGCAAAGCUGGGUCAGCCCAGGGGUCCCCCUUCUGUGGCCUGAAUCCAGCUACUUGAGUCAUCAUCACUGCUGCAACCAAGGUUCUGCGCGAGCAGGAAGCUGGGGUCGGGAGUUGCAGCCAGCAGUUAAUCCCAGGUACCCUGAUGUGGGACAUGGAUGUUCUAACCAUUGCUUUAAAAAAAAAGAUUAUUUCAUUUCUUUUUAAGAAAAUUUUUAUUUAAAAAUUUUCAUAAAAAGUAUUGGAAUGACUACAUAGAUAAAGCAUUUAAAAACGAUUCUCUGGCUUACAUUGCUUGCUGGCUCAGUUCUAGCUCUGUCCUGGUCAAGGUCUCCAGAAACUUCCCCUGUGAAGUCUGGUCUCACAGGUAGGGACCCUCACUGCACUGA